rnacentral:rRNA from 1 species
GACGUAGGGGGCCAGCGUUGUUCGGAAUUACUGGGUGUAAAGGGUUCGUAGGCGGUGCGGCAAGUCGGGAGUGAAAUCUCUGGGCUUAACCCAGAGGCUGCUUCCGAAACUGCUGUGCUUGAGUGUGGGAGAGGCGCGUGGAAUUGCAGGUGUAGCGGUGAAAUGCGUAGAUAUCAGGAGGAACACCGGUGGCGAAGGCGGUUCUCUGGGCAUUACCUGACGCUGAGGAGCGAAAGUGUGGGGAGCGAACAGG